rnacentral:rRNA from 1 species
UACAGGGGGGGCAAGCGUUGUUCGGAAUUACGGGGCGUAAAGGGUUCGUAGGUGGCUUACUAAGUCAGACGUGAAAUCCCUCAGCUUAACUGGGGAACUGCGUCUGAUACUGGAAAGCUUGAGUGCAGGAGAGGAACGCGGAAUUCCAGGUGUAGCGGUGAAAUGCGUAGAUAUCUGGAGGAACACCGGUGGCGAAGGCGGCGUUCUGGACUGCAACUGACACUGAGGAACGAAAGCCAGGGGAGCAAUCGGG